GACGAAGGGGGCUAGCGUUGUUCGGAAUUACUGGGCGUAAAGCGAGUGUAGGUGGUCAUCCAAGUUGGAUGUGAAAGCCUUGGGCUUAACCCAAGAAAUGUAUUCAGGACUGGAUGACUAGAGGACCGGAGAGGAUAGUGGAAUUCCCAGUGCAGUGGUGAAAUACGUAGAGAUCGGGAAGAACACCAGUGGCGAAGGCGGCUAUCUGGACGGUUUCUGACACUAAGACUCGAAAGCGUGGGGAGCAAACAGG
rnacentral:rRNA from 1 species